AGAACGAACGCUGGCGGCAGGCCUCAAACAUGCAAGUCUAGGGGGUGUAGCAAUACAUCACCGGCGGACGGGUGCGUAACGCGUGGGAAUAUACCUUUUGGUUCGGAACAACUGAGGGAAACUUCAGCUAAUACCGAAUGUGCCCUAACGGGGAAAGAUUUAUCGCCAAAGGAUUAGCCCGCGUAGGAUUAGCUAGUUGGUGAGGUAAUGGCUCACCAAGGCUCCGAUCCUUAGCUGUUCUGAGAGGAAGAUCAGCCACACUGGGACUGAGACACGGCCCAGACUCCUACGGGAGGCAGCAGUUGGGAAUCUUGGACAAUGGGGGAAACCCUGAUCCAGCCAUGCCGCGUGAGUGAUGAAGGCCUUCGGGUUGUAAAACUCUUUCGACGGGGACGAUAAUGACGGUACCCGUAGAAGAAGCUCCGGCUAACUUCGUGCCAGCAGCCGC
rnacentral:rRNA from 1 species